UGUUUCCUCUCCCGCCAGAGACGGAACAGCGGUGCUCGCGGGUAUUCCCUUCAUGGGGGUGUCCUAGGGUGCCGUCGUGCUAAUGUCGAAUUCAGGGAGGCUGGUCCUGCGUCCCUGGAUUCGAGAGCUGAUCCUGGGCUCAGAAACACUGUCAAGUCCACAAGCCGGUCAUCUGCUCAAGGUACUCCAGGACUCGGAGACUCCGGGCCCAUCUUCCGCCCCUGACACACCUGACACCGGGGCCGUGUUACUUGUGUCAGAUGGAACUCAUAGUGUCCGAUGCGUGGUGACGCGUAAUGCCAUCGACACCUCUGACUGGGAGGAGAAGGAGUUCGGAUUCCGUGGGACCGAGGGCCGGCUCCUGCUGCUGCAGGCGUGCGGGCUCCGCAUUCAGGUGGCUCAGGACUAUGCGCCUGCGGAGUUCUACCUCCAGGUGGAUCGCUUUAACCUGCUGCCCACGGAGCAGCCCCGGGUACAGGUGACUGGUUGAAAACCCUGCUUCUCCCAGCCUCAUGCCACAGGAGGAAAGCGGUGCCAGUGUUAGCCUUCUGUCAGCCUUGCCCACAUCAGACCCCGGGCAGAAGGACAACUCCCAGCCUCCGCCAACUGUUUGCUCAACCUCCCCAAGAGCUCAGGCCCCCAGUUCUACACCCUGCAGUUCUACACCCAGCUCCCCACUCUUGACCUGCAGCCCCAGUCUCUCACCCCUUCGACAUGCCCCUACUUCAUACCAGGCCUGUGAGACCAGAACCCAGUUUCAUAAGCUAGAGUUCAGGGAGCUCCAGUGGCCCAUCAAAAGACGGCAGCUUCUCCCAAGAACCGGAGCCCAGGAGCCCCACUCUGUCUGGGAACCCCCAGAGAGGCAUCGUGAUACUUCUGCAUUCCAGUAUAAAUAUGGGACACCCUCUGCCUCCCUCCAUACCCAGGUCCAAACUGCCAGGUGAGUGUUUAGAGCGACCCUGCCUGUGUUGGGCACCAGUCUUAGGUAACCCUGACCUCUGGGUAUGGUUUCUUUCCAGGCUCUCUCCUCAGCUUGUAGCUUGGGCCUUGAACAUAGUGAUGGAGUCUGAGUUACCACAGGUAUGAAGAGGAUGUAUACCCAUGGGCCUAAGGACAAACAGCAUUCCACGCUCUGUUUCAUUCAGGUUUUUUAAUAAAAUAAUUUCAUGCGGC
rnacentral:lncRNA from 1 species